AUGCAUAGUAACCGAGAGCUGCAGCCUCACAGUUGGUAGUUGUGGAAUCUCCAACAACAUGCAUGAAAAUUGGAGACACUUUGACAGCAUUGGCCCUAUGUUUCCUCUGACUGUCACUUGAGUCUCCUACAUCU